GCCGAGGUGGUGGAAUUGGUAUACACGCGGGUCUCAAAAACCCGUGAGGGCAACCUCAUGCGGGUUCGACCCCCGCCCUCGGCA
rnacentral:tRNA from 1 species